rnacentral:rRNA from 1 species
GAUGAACGCUAGCUACAGGCUUAACACAUGCAAGUCGAGGGGCAGCGGUAUCGAAAGCUUGCUUUCGGUAGCCGGCGACCGGCGCACGGGUGAGUAACGCGUAUCGAACCUGCCUCAUACUCGGGAAUAGCCUUGCGAAAGUAAGAUUAAUGCCCGGUGUUUUCAGAGUCCCGCAUGAGGCUUUGAACAAAGAUUUAUCGGUAUGAGAUGGCGAUGCGUCCCAUUAGCUUGUUGGCGGGGUAACGGCCCACCAAGGCAUCGAUGGGUAGGGGUUCUGAGAGGAAGGUCCCCCACAUUGGAACUGAGACACGGUCCGAACUCCUACGGGAGGCAGCAGUGAGGAAUAUUGGUCAAUGGGCGGAAGCCUGAACCAGCCAAGUAGCGUGCAGGAAGACGGCCCUCCGGGUUGUAAACUGCUUUUAGUUGGGAAUAAAACGGGGCUCGUGAGCCCCCUUGCAUGUACCAUCAGAAAAAGGACCGGCUAAUUCCGUG